AAAAAGGGCUUUUGCCGUAAGUGGCACACAUCUCUGUUAUGGGGAUGUGCGGAAUCGCAAGCAAGAGAUUUCGAAAGUAAAAUUUCUCUCCCACCGGGGCAGCAGGUAUCCGUACGAUCCGGCGCCCCC
rnacentral:snRNA from 1 species